rnacentral:rRNA from 1 species
UGGGGAAUAUUGCACAAUGGGGGAAACCCUGAUGCAGCGACGCCGCGUGAGUGAAGAAGUAUUUCGGUAUGUAAAGCUCUAUCAGCAGGGAAGAUAAUGACGGUACCUGCACAAGAAGCCCCGGCUAACUACGUGCCAGCAGCCGCGGUAAUACGUAGGGGGCAAGCGUUAUCCGGAUUUACUGGGUGUAAAGGGAGCGUAGACGGAACGGCAAGUCAGAUGUGAAAGGCAUGGGCUCAACUCGUGGACUGCAUUUGAAACUGUCGAUCUGGAGUGUCGGAGGGGCAGGCGGAAUUCCUGGUGUAGCGGUGAAAUGCGUAGAUAUCAGGAAGAACACCGGUGGCGAAGGCGGCCUGCUGGACGACAACUGACGUUGAGGCUCGAAGGCGUGGGGAGCAAACAGG